rnacentral:rRNA from 1 species
GAUGAACGCUAGCGGCAGGCUUAACACAUGCAAGUCGAGGGGUAUUGGUUUUCGGACCAAGAGACCGGCGCACGGGUGCGUAACGCGUAUGCAAUCUACCUUUUGCAGAGGGAUAGCCCCAGAGAAAUUUGGAUUAAUACCUCAUAGUAUAGUACUUUGGCAUCAAGGAACUAUUAAAGUCACAACGGCAAAAGAUGAGCAUGCGUCCCAUUAGCUAGUUGGUAAGGUAACGGCUUACCAAGGCUACGAUGGGUAGGGGUCCUGAGAGGGAGAUCCCCCACACUGGUACUGAGACACGGACCAGACUCCUACGGGAGGCAGCAGUGAGGAAUAUUGGACAAUGGGCGCAAGCCUGAUCCAGCCAUGCCGCGUGCAGGAUGACGGUCCUAUGGAUUGUAAACUGCUUUUGUACAGGAAGAAACACUACUUCGUGAAGUAGCUUGACGGUACUGUAAGAAUAAGGAUCGGCUAACUCGUGCCAGCAGCCG